rnacentral:rRNA from 1 species
CCCUUUGGGGUGUGACUGCGUACCUUUUGUAUAAUGGGUCAGCGACUUAUAUUCUGUAGCAAGGUUAACCGUAUAGGGGAGCCGCAGGGAAACCGAGUCUUAACCGGGCGUUAAGUUGCAGGGUAUAGACCCGAAACCCGGUGAUCUAGCCAUGGGCAGGUUGAAGGUUGGGUAACACUAACUGGAGGACCGAACCGACUAAUGUUGAAAAAUUAGCGGAUGACCUGUGGCUGGGGGUGAAAGGCCAAUCAAACCGGGAGAUAGCUGGUUCUCCCCGAAAGCUAUUUAGGUAGCGCCUCGUGAACUCAUCUCCGGGGGUAGAGCACUGUUUCGGCUAGGGGGCCAUCCCGGCUUACCAACCCGAUGCAAACUGCGAAUACCGGAGAAUGUUAUCACGGGAGACACACGGCGGGUGCUAACGUCCGUCGUGAAGAGGGAAACAACCCAGACCGCCAGCUAAGGUCCCAAAGUCAUGGUUAAGUGGGAAACGAUGUGGGAAGGCCCAGACAGCCAGGAUGUUGGCUUAGAAGCAGCCAUCAUUUAAAGAAAGCGUAAUAGCUCACUGGUCGAGUCGGCCUGCGCGGAAGAUGUAACGGGGCUAAACCAUGCACCGAAGCUGCGGCAGCGAACGUAUCACCCAAGACAACUUUACGGAGUUAACGAUUGACGGAGCGAAGCGACGUCAAAGCGUUCAUUAAAGUCGAGUUGGCUUAGGGAUACGUUCGUUGGGUAGGGGAGCGUUCUGUAAGCCUGUGAAGGUGGCCUGUGAGGGUUGCUGGAGGUAUCAGAAGUGCGAAUGCUGACAUAAGUAACGAUAAAGCGGGUGAAAAGCCCGCUCGCCGGAAGACCAAGGGUUCCUGUCCAACGUUAAUCGGGGCAGGGUGAGUCGACCCCUAAGGCGAGGCCGAAAGGCGUAGUCGAUGGGAAACGGGUUAAUAUUCCCGUACUUGGUGUUACUGCGAAGGGGGGACGGAGAAGGCUAUGUUGGCCGGGCGACGGUUGUCCCGGUUUAAGCGUGUA